rnacentral:misc_RNA from 1 species
GAUGAAGAACGCAGCGAAAUGCGAUAAGUAAUGUGAAUUGCAGAAUUCAGUGAAUCAUCGAAUCUUUGAACGCACAUUGCGCCCGCCAGUAUUCUGGCGGGCAUGCCUGUUCGAGCGUCAUUUCAACCCUCAGGCUCCCCGAGCCUGGUGUUGGGGACCGGCGGUCUCGCCGCCCCCGAAAUGAAUCGGCGGUCUCGUCGCGGCCUUCCUUUGCGCAGUAGCAUUACCACCUCGCAACCGGGAGCGCGGCGCGGCCACGCCCGUUAAACGCCCAACUUCUCAAGAGUUGACCUCGAAUCAGGUAGGAAUACCCGCUGAACUUAAGCAUAUCAAUAAGCGGAGGA